CUGAAGGCACUCAGGUGAUCAACGUGGUUAUCAACUCAGAUCAUUUCACAUUUGGACUUUAGUGACUAUAGAGUCACAGAACAAUGUUCAGAGAUACUUUUGUAAGAAAAUCAACUAGAAUCAUAAAAGUGAAAGGGGCAUGUCCCGCCUUUUACUGUAGCAACCCAACCCAUCUCUCCCAGCAUCCUUAGCUGUAUAUAGGAGGAGCAAGAGAGAGAGAGAGGCAGAAUUACAGAGUGUCAGAGUGACGGAAAGAAAUACAGAAAAAGCACAGCAAGUUUUGAUAUACUGCGGCGCACAAUCCACGUCGACAUUGUACUCUGAAGCAAAGAAAUGAAUACCUUUCCAAUCCAUCUAUCCACACAAUUAGAAGUCCAACUCAAAGUUCCCCCAACAAAAACGCAUCCUAUAAUACAGUGUAUUAUUAACAACAACCCCGAGAAGCUCCAAAAAUUAUUAAACGACAUCAACAUCAAUGAAGUUUACCCAUGCAGAGAGUGUAAUGACUAUAUUACCCCACUGAUUGCUGCUGUUGUAUAUCACAAUAGGGAUAUUUGUGCGUUACUUUUGCAUCAGGGUGCAGACCCAAACAAGGUUUCCCAAACUAGCUUUGCACCUUUACAUUAUGUCUCACUAUCCAAAGCACCACUUCUUUUUGUGGAGAAACUGCUUGAAGCAAAAGCUGAUCCAGAUGCAUGGCUUCCCAAUCAGCGAUUCACAGCGCUGCAAACUGCCGCCAUCAAUGACAGAGAUGAUGUCAUGAAAGUGCUCAUUUCUGCUGGGGCACGGGUAACAUUGUUAUCUCUAACUGAUCCUG